CUGCCCAGCGAGGAUCCGAACCGGUCCCAUCAACGUCGUUCUCUUCCGUUUGUGAAGCGUGAAAACAGAGGCUAACCGCGGAGCGAGCAGCUUCUGUCCUCACGCCGCCAGACUCUGAAAGUUUUCCCUCUCAGCCUGUUGGAGGUUUGAAACAAGGCCUCUCUGAAGAAAAGCAGCGACGACCAGGUCCAACAGGGUUUAUCGGUCAGCAGAAACUUUGGCCUUCCUGACCCGUUAGAUCGCUAUAAAACCGUCGCAGUGAAGACGUACAACUUGCUCUGUUUUACCGUGUCUGGAACAGAAUAAUCUAGUGUCUAGAUAGUGACUAACAUUUGCGGUACAAUUAUGUGAUUGAAGUGUUUUCAAAACAUUUAGGAUUGAAGAUUAAAAACUUAAAACAUUGUUUGUGUGUAAAUCUGUUCCACCAGAAAUCCUCCAGUUCAGUUGUAGCUUCACCUGAUUGACAUCCUGUAAAAACUUCAUUUCAAUCACCUUCAGCAUCCAGUUCUGAACCAGUGAAUCUAUAUAUUGAUCAGGAUCAAUACAGAUCAUCCACACUCUGUAUGGAUUUUCAGUCCAGCAGAAGUUGUUGAGCUUUUCAGAUAUUUCAGUUGCAGAUUCAUCCUUUGCUCCACAUGAUCAAACGUUCACUAAAGUAACACUGUUAUAGUUUUAGAGGCAUUUUGUCUUAUUUUAAAAAGUAAUAAAAUGAUGUUUAUAGUCUUGUAUUUGUGAUAAUGUAUGAAAUCAUCUCCAGUAGCUCAUGAACUGCAGAAAGUUCCAGUUGUAGAAGAUUUGGUUGUUUUGAAAUGUUAUUUGAAGACACUGCAGGUGCAGCUUCUGUCCACUAGACGGCGACAUUCCGCAACCUGCUGGGGACAGUUGAUGAUUUUAUUGUCUAAAUUUAGUUUUAUUGAUAUAAUUCAAGGUAAAUUAUUAUGUUUGUGAGAAGCGCUUUAUGAAUAAGCUGUAUGUAUUUAUAUUUAUGUAAAAGUGACACAUUUAGGCAAAAGGUUUUAUAAAUUUCUGUUGUCUUUGCACCAAAAAAGGUUAAAAUGACCAAAGUCCCCAGAAAAUGAUGCGAAUGGACCCAAAAGCAGAAAAGUGCAGCACAAUCAUCAUAGUAAAAAUGACAAGAAGAGACCGAAAGUGAAUGAAUCAUCCGGAGGAGGUGAUCAGCGCUGAUUGCGCUGAUUGGAGUCACCUGUGGGGAACCGGAUAAAAAGGAACGGGAUGAGCCAGAGGCGUUUAGUUGAGCUCUGGAUCAGGUUCGGUUCGGUGGGUCUCCAGGUUGUGCUCCAGAGUUUUUCAGCGUCGUGUCCAUCUGUGAGUCCACGGGUGGGUUUCAUCUGCAGCCGAGCGGCUCCUUAAAACUUCAUCUGGCGUUUGGAGCAGCGAUAGUAAAGGCUGUUUUCAGAGCAGCUUCUUUGUUGGCUUCCAGUCCGCCGCAGACAGCAGGUGAAACUGAUUGUGACCGAUUCCUGAUUCAUGGUCAAACACAGAUCUCCGUGGAUCCACAAUAACCUGGUUCGGUUCUGUGAGGUCCACCAUGUCGGACGAGCUGAUAGCAGCUGAUUUAGAUUGUAGUGUUUGUGGUUUUGUUCCUGGAGGAAUGAACGGCUGCUGCCAGAGCCUGGAGCUUUAUUUCUGCAAAUUCUUAGCUGAAUACCAACUGAGCCAGAUGUCCAACAGGUGUGGAGCCUUGUUUCCAUGGUUACAGGCAUGGCCUGCUUAUUG